AGCGAACGCUGGCGGCAGGCUUAACACAUGCAAGUCGAGCGGGUGUAGCAAUACAUCAGCGGCAGACGGGUGAGUAACGCGUGGGAACGUACCUUUUGGUUCGGAACAACACAGGGAAACUUGUGCUAAUACCGGAUAAGCCCUUACGGGGAAAGAUUUAUCGCCGAAAGAUCGGCCCGCGUCUGAUUAGCUAGUUGGUAGGGUAACGGCCUACCAAGGCGACGAUCAGUAGCUGGUCUGAGAGGAUGAUCAGCCACAUUGGGACUGAGACACGGCCCAAACUCCUACGGGAGGCAGCAGUGGGGAAUAUUGGACAAUGGGGGCAACCCUGAUCCAGCCAUGCCGCGUGAGUGAUGAAGGCCCUAGGGUUGUAAAGCUCUUUUGUGCGGGAAGAUAAUGACGGUACCGCAAGAAUAAGCCCCGGCUAACUUCGUGCCAGCCGCCGCGGUAAGAC
rnacentral:rRNA from 1 species